rnacentral:lncRNA from 1 species
AAUAUCUGAAACGGCUAGUUAGGGGGAUCUCAAUAAUUCCACCCAAAGCUCGAUCAUAUUAGUGUAGGAAUCACAAGUUGGACCAUAGAGAAGGUAAAUAAUGGCAUAUGAAGAUUCUACAUCUUUUAUUCUUUUAAAUAUAUGGCUAUAUAAAGUGGACCUUAUUAUUAGUCCAAACGUCAUUCUGCAAUAUAAUAUACAAAGCAAUUAAUUAAGUGUAUCUCACAGUAGUUGUCCAUCAAUGGCAGAGCUUGCAAAGAUUGGGAAAAUUGGAUUUUCCCUUAUAGAAGGAAGAAAUAGUAAGGGAAGAACAAAGUCUUGUUCUGGUAGUGAGGAACCAAAACAAGUUUGUGUUUACAGAUAUUAUCCACAACCUGUUUAUUUUGUUCAGGUUAUUCCACCUUCUGCUACUACUGAAGCCAGAGUCAUUUUAAGUCAAUUUCCAGAGAGCAAAGCAACUGCUGUGGCUUUCUAAAGUUAAUUAGCUAGGACUAGCCUAUAUGUAUGCAUGUUAUCUACGUCUUGACAGAAUUAAAAUUGUAUUAGCUAACGAUGUAUGUACUUCUCUUCUAUGUAGUUUUUCUUCACUAAGAAAA